CCGACCCUCUCUUUCAACAUGUUUGGAUGGGCGGAGUCUGCAGUGUUCUGCGGAAUCACACCACUAAUACGACGAAAGCGGGAGAAAUUACUUCAGUUUCAGCGACAAUGAAGUCAUAUACCCACACCUACCAUUUGCUCCCAGCAAAAGCAACGCCUCCUUACAGCCGUGUCAGGACUUUCAUCCUGCCGUGACCCGGAUUCGAACCGGGGUUGCUGCGGCCACAACGCAGAGUACUAACCACUAUACGAUCACGGCGAGCUACUGGGGGCUGAUUCGAGACGGCAGCCCCAAGAGGAACUGUCCCACAGACUGUUGUGCAAAUUGCGGAUUGACGCAGAGUGGCUAAUCAAUGAGCAGAUUUUCUACCUCGAAAAUAAGAAAGGUGCAAGUUGCAGGAUGAAAUCAGUUCGCAACAGCAGGUACGCAUGCACACAGCACUCUGUUGCGCACCAGUGCUGGAGGAGAUGUAGACUACAGCUUCGUUGUGUUGCUGAAGUGGUUAGUAGAGCAUCGAUCCCUUUUUCAAACGUGAAAAUGAAAUGCAAUUAGUUAUACGCACUUAAUUGCAUUUG